rnacentral:rRNA from 1 species
CCCUUUCGGGUGCAUCAUCGACCGAUCCUGAUGUCUUCGGAUGGAUUUGAGUAAGAGUUAUAACUGUUCGGACCCGAAAGAUGGUGAACUAUGCGUGGAUAGGGUGAAGCCAGAGGAAACUCUGGUGGAGGCUCGCAGCGGUUCUGACGUGCAAAUCGAUCGUCAAAUAUGCGCAUGGGGGCGAAAGACUUAUCGAACCAUCUAGUAGCUGGUUACCGCCGAAGUUUCCCUCAGGAUAGCAGUGUUGUUCUUCAGUUUUAUGAGGUAAAGCGAAUGAUUAGGGACUCGGGGGCGCUUUUUUGCCUUCAUCCAUUCUCAAACUUUAAAUAUGUAAGAAGCCCUUGUUACUUAAUUGAACGUGGGCAUUCGAAUGUACCAACACUAGUGGGCCAUUUUUGGUAAGCAGAACUGGCGAUGCGGGAUGAACCGAACGCGGGGUUAAGGUGCCGGAGUGGACGCUCAUCAGACACCACAAAAGGUGUUAGCACAUUUAGACAAUAGGACGGUGGCCAUGGAAGUCGGAAUCCGCUAAGGACUGUGUAACAACUCACCUAUCGAAUGUGCUAGCCCUGAAAAUGGAUGGCGCUCAAGCGUCCCACCCAUAU